UACGUAGGGUGCGAGCGUUGCCCGGAUUUAUUGGGCGUAAAGGGCGCGUAGGCGGUGAGAUGCGUCCGUUGUGAAAUCGCCCGGCUCAACUGGGCGGGGUCAGCGGAUACGGUCUCACUUGAGCAAGCUAGGGGGCAAUGGAAUUCCCGGUGUAGUGGUGGAAUGCGUAGAUAUCGGAAGGAACAUCAGUGGCGAAGGCGACUUCCUGGACCAAUACUGACGCUCAGGUGCGAAAGCGUGGGGAGCAAACAGG
rnacentral:rRNA from 1 species